rnacentral:ribozyme from 1 species
AAUAAAAACCGUUGCUGCUACCUUGACGUGGUGGUUGGGCUUGCCUAUCGUGAUGAAGCAAUCGAGCUAUGCUGGCUGAAACAAUCGUUCCUGGAGGUCCUAUCAUGCCAGACAGGUCGGUUGAAGAGCGGUAGGACUGAAAGCAGC